AACGAACGCUGGCGGCAUGCCUAACACAUGCAAGUCGAACGAGACCUUCGGGUCUAGUGGCGCACGGGUGCGUAACGCGUGGGAACCUGCCCUUAGGUUCGGAAUAACUCCCCGAAAGGGGUGCUAAUACCGGAUAAUGUCUUCGGACCAACGAUUUAUCGCCUUUGGAUGGGCCCGCGUUGGAUUAGCUAGUUGGGAGGGUAAAAGCCUACCAAGGCGACGAUCCGUAACUGGUCUGAGAGGAUGAUCAGCCACACUGGAACUGAGACACGGCCCAGACACCGGCGGGAGGCAGCAGUGGGGAAUAUUGGGGGAGGGGCGAAAGCGGGAUCCAGGCAAGCCGCGUGUGGGAAGAAGGACUAAGGAUUGGAAAGCAAUUUAAGUUGUGAGGAAGGGCAGUAAGUUAAUACCUGGCUGUAAUGACGGUACCAACAGAAUAAGCACCGGCUAACUUCGUG
rnacentral:rRNA from 1 species